rnacentral:rRNA from 1 species
ACCAUGCACCGAAGCUGCGGCAGCGACGCUUAUGCGUUGUUGGGUAGGGGAGCGUUCUGUAAGCCUGCGAAGGUGGCCUGUGAGGGUUGCUGGAGGUAUCAGAAGUGCGAAUGCUGACAUAAGUAACGAUAAAGCGGGUGAAAAGCCCGCUCGCCGGAAGACCAAGGGUUCCUGUCCAACGUUAAUCGGGGCAGGGUGAGUCGACCCCUAAGGCGAGGCCGAAAGGCGUAGUCGAUGGGAAACGGGUUAAUAUUCCCGUACUUGGUGUUACUGCGAAGGGGGGACGGAGAAGGCUAUGUUGGCCGGGCGACGGUUGUCCCGGUUUAAGCGUGUAGGUGUGUGUUCCAGGUAAAUCCGGUUCACUUUAACACUGAGGCGUGACGACGAGGCACUACGGUGCUGAAGCAACAAAUGCCCUGCUUCCAGGAAAAGCCUCUAAGCAUCAGGUAACAUCAAAUCGUACCCCAAACCGACACAGGUGGUCAGGUAGAGAAUACCAAGGCGCUUGAGAGAACUCGGGUGAAGGAACUAGGCAAAAUGGUGCCGUAACUUCGGGAGAAGGCACGCUGACACGUAGGUGAAGUGAUUUACUCAUGGAGCUGAAGUCAGUCGAAGAUACCAGCUGGCUGCAACUGUUUAUUAAAAACACAGCACUGUGCAAACACGAAAGUGGACGUAUACGGUGUGACGCCUGCCCGGUGCCGGAAGGUUAAUUGAUGGGGUCAGCGCAAGCGAAGCUCCUGAUCGAAGCCCCGGUAAACGGCGGCCGUAACUAUAACGGUCCUAAGGUAGCGAAAUUCCUUGUCGGGUAAGUUCCGACCUGCACGAAUGGCGUAAUGAUGGCCAGGCUGUCUCCACCCGAGACUCAGUGAAAUUGAACUCGCUGUGAAGAUGCAGUGUACCCGCGGCAAGACGGAAAGACCCCGUGAACCUUUACUAUAGCUUGACACUGAACAUUGAGCCUUGAUGUGUAGGAUAGGUGGGAGGCUUUGAAGUGUGGACGCCAGUCUGCAUGGAGCCGACCUUGAAAUACCACCCUUUAAUGUUUGAUGUUCUAACGUGGACCCGUUACCCGGGUUGCGGACAGUGUCUGGUGGGUAGUUUGACUGGGGCGGUCUCCUCCUAAAGAGUAACGGAGGAGCACGAAGGUUGGCUAAUCCUGGUCGGACAUCAGGAGGUUAGUGCAAUGGCAUAAGCCAGCUUGACUGCGAGCGUGACGGCGCGAGCAGGUGCGAAAGCAGGUCAUAGUGAUCCGGUGGUUCUGAAUGGAAGGGCCAUCGCUCAACGGAUAAAAGGUACUCCGGGGAUAACAGGCUGAUACCGCCCAAGAGUUCAUAUCGACGGCGGUGUUUGGCACCUCGAUGUCGGCUCAUCACAUCCUGGGGCUGAAGUAGGUCCCAAGGGUAUGGCUGUUCGCCAUUUAAAGUGGUACGCGAGCUGGGUUUAGAACGUCGUGAGACAGUUCGGUCCCUAUCUGCCGUGGGCGCUGGAGAACUGAGGGGGGCUGCUCCUAGUACGAGAGGACCGGAGUGGACGCAUCACUGGUGUUCGGGUUGUCAUGCCAAUGGCACUGCCCGGUAGCUAAAUGCGGAAGAGAUAAGUGCUGAAAGCAUCUAAGCACGAAACUUGCCCCGAG